UACGUAGGGACCAAGCGUUGUUCGGAUUUACUGGGCGUAAAGGGCGCGUAGGCGGCCGAUCAAGUCGGGGGUGAAAGCCUGUGGCUCAACCACAGAAUUGCCUUCGAUACUGUUUGGCUUGAGACCGGAAGAGGUAAGUGGAACUGCGAGUGUAGAGGUGAAAUUCGUAGAUAUUCGCAAGAACACCAGUGGCGAAGGCGGCUUACUGGUCCGGUUCUGACGCUGAGGCGCGAAAGCGUGGGGAGCAAACAGG
rnacentral:rRNA from 1 species